rnacentral:rRNA from 1 species
UUAUAAAUAAAAAUUAAUUCAUAAAAAAUUAAAUGUAUAAAUCAUUAAAUUUAAAUAAUUUGGCGGUAUUUUAAAUAGUUAGAGGAAUUUGUUAAAUAAAUGAUAAUCCCCGAUUGGAGUGUCCUAAUAAAAAUUUUUAUGUAUUGUUGUAAAAAAAUUAUUUUAUAAGAAUUUAUAAUUAAAAUAUUUAAUUUAAUUGGAAUAUAAAUCAAAAUGUAGAAUUAUUAGGUUAUAAUGAAUUACAAUUUAUUAAAAUAUUAACGUUAUUUUUUUAAUUAAAAUAAUUAAAUAGGAUUUAAAAGUAAAUUUAAAAAAAUAUUUAAAUUGAAA